CUACGGGUUGCAGCAGUAAGGAAUAUUGCGCAAUGGAGGCAACUCUGACGCAGCCAUGCCGCGUGCAGGAAGAAGGCCUUAUGGGUCGUAAACUGCUUUUAUUUAGGAAUAAACCCCCGAACGUGUUCGGGGCUGAAGGUACUAAACGAAUAAGCACCGGCUAACUCCGUGCCAGCAGCCGCGGUAAUACGGAGGGUGCAAGCGUUAUCCGGAUUUGUUGGGUUUAAAGGGUGCGCAGGCGGGCUAUUAAGUCAGUGGUGAAAUCCCGGGGCUCAACUCCGGAACUGCCAUUGAUACUGAUAGUCUUGAGUUUGGUUGAAGUGGGCGGAAUGUAGCAUGUAGCGGUGAAAUGCAUAGAUAUGCUACAGAACACCAAUCGCGAAGGCAGCUCACUAAGCCAAAACUGACGCUCAUGCACGAAAGCGUGGGGAUCAAACAGGAUUAGAUACCCGGGUAGUC
rnacentral:rRNA from 1 species